rnacentral:rRNA from 1 species
UGGGGAAUUUUGGACAAUGGGGGCAACCCUGAUCCAGCCAUGCCGCGUGAGUGAAGAAGGCCUUCGGGUUGUAAAGCUCUUUCGGCCGGGAAGAAAUCGCGCAGGCUAAUAUCCUGCGUGGAUGACGGUACCGGAAUAAGAAGCACCGGCUAACUACGUG